UACACUCCUGCGGGAGGCAGCAGUGGGGAAUAUUGCACAAUGGGCGCAAGCCUGAUGCAGCCAUGCCGCGUGUAUGAAGAAGGCCUUCGGGUUGUAAAGUACUUUCAGCGGGGAGGAAGGCGAUAAGGUUAAUAACCUUGUUGAUUGACGUUACCCGCAGAAGAAGCACCGGCUAACUCCGUGCCAGCAGCCGCGGUAAUACGGAGGGUGCAAGCGUUAAUCGGAAUUACUGGGCGUAAAGCGCACGCAGGCGGUCUGUCAAGUCGGAUGUGAAAUCCCCGGGCUCAACCUGGGAACUGCAUUCGAAACUGGCAGGCUAGAGUCUUGUAGAGGGGGGUAGAAUUCCAGGUGUAGCGGUGAAAUGCGUAGAGAUCUGGAGGAAUACCGGUGGCGAAGGCGGCCCCCUGGACAAAGACUGACGCUCAGGUGCGAAAGCGUGGGGAGCAAACAGGAUUAGAUACCCUAGUAGUCC
rnacentral:rRNA from 1 species